AUGUAUGCAGCUGAGGCAUCCUAACAGACCGGUAGACUUGAAC
rnacentral:rRNA from 1 species